rnacentral:rRNA from 1 species
GCAGUCGAACGAUGACGACCGUGCUUGCACGGUCUGAUUAGUGGCGAACGGGUGAGUAACACGUGAGUAACCUGCCCCUCACUUCGGGAUAACCUCGGGAAAUCGUGGCUAAUACCGGAUAUGAGUUCCUGCCGCAUGGUGGGGAUUGGAAAGUUUUUCGGUGGGGGAUGGACUCGCGGCCUAUCAGUUUGUUGGUGAGGUAAUGGCUCACCAAGGCGAUGACGGGUAGCCGGCCUGAGAGGGCGACCGGCCACACUGGGACUGAGACACGGCCCAGACUCCUACGGGAGGCAGCAGUGGGGAAUAUUGCACAAUGGGCGAAAGCCUGAUGCAGCGACGCCGCGUGAGGGAUGACGGCCUUCGGGUUGUAAACCUCUUUCAGUAGGGAAGAAGCGAAAGUGACGGUACCUGCAGAAGAAGCGCCGGCUAACUACGUGCCAGCAGCCGCGGUAAUACGUAGGGCGCAAGCGUUGUCCGGAAUUAUUGGGCGUAAAGAGCUUGUAGGUGGCUUGUCGCGUCUGCCGUGAAAACCCGAGGCUCAACCUCGGGCGUGCGGUGGGUACGGGCAGGCUAGAGUGUGGUAGGGGAGACUGGAACUCCUGGUGUAGCGGUGAAAUGCGCAGAUAUCAGGAAGAACACCGAUGGCGAAGGCAGGUCUCUGGGCCAUU